rnacentral:lncRNA from 1 species
CUCGGCCUCCCAAAGUGCUGGGAUUACAAGCAUGAGCCACCGUGCCCAGCCCACUACCACCUUUUUUCAUGUCUCAUUAUAUUUUCCCUGUGAUCUCAUAUUCUCCUGCGGAUCUUGACUACCUUGGCUAGUGCUCCCUGGGAUAGCAGAAUAGGCAUAGUCAUCAAGGAUAAUAGAACUGUGAUCACACUGAGUUCCUCAAGAAAAGAACUGGCUGUCUCAUCUUGGUAUUCUUGAUGCCUUGCUCAGUAGCGCCUGGCAAAACUAAAUCUCCCAGUGAAUGGUUGGUGAAGGAAUGAACAAGUGAAUAAAUGACAACCUGUGGGCCUGUUAUCCCAUCUACAAAAC